CCUACGGGAGGCAGCAGUGAGGAAUAUUGGUCAAUGGUCGGGAGACUGAACCAGCCAAGCCGCGUGCGGGAUGAAGGUACAGAGUAUCGUAAACCUCUUUUGUCAGGGAACAAAGGCGGGGACGUGUCCCCGGCUGAGUGUACCUGAAGAACAAGCAUCGGCUAACUCCGUGCCAGCAGCCGCGGUAAUACGGAGGAUGCGAGCGUUAUCCGGAUUUAUUGGGUUUAAAGGGUGCGCAGGCGGUCUGUUAAGUUAGGGGUGAAAUCCCGGGGCUCAACCCCGGACCUGCCGUUGAAACUGGCAGUCUCGAGUUGGAGAGAAGUAUGCGGAAUGCACGGUGUAGCGGUGAAAUGCAUAGAGAUCGCACAGAACUCCGAUUGCGAAGGCAGCAUGCCGGCUCCACACUGACGCUGAGGCACGAAAGCGUGGGUAUCGAACAGGAUUAGAUACCCGAGUAGUC
rnacentral:rRNA from 1 species